GGGGCUGGAGCAGGGGCAUGUACCUCAGUAACAAUAUCACUAUCACUGACUGUGGCUGUUAAUAAGUUUUCCAAAUCCCCCAGCCAGCUCUCAGGGCAAUAGGAAGUUAUACCAUGGCUGACACUCAGUGAGAAUCAUUAAUGUGGAAUCCCAUUGAUAGACAAAUCCUUUCUCAAUCCACAAAUUAAGAAUAUAAAUUAAAUAAAUUAAAAGUCUUAAGAAAUAACCAUUUUCCCUGAAUAAUUACAUCUUCUCUAGAUGUAAUUAUUACAUCUUCUCUAGAAGAUGUAAUUAUUAGAGUUGAUUACAUCAACACUAAAGGCCUACAAACUUCUACGAUUUAAAGCAAGAUUAUUCUUAAGUUCUUCUUUAAUGAAAAAUACUACACGAAGAAAUGAAAUGAAAAUAAGCACGCUACAACACAGAUGUUCUUUAUAUCCAGGAAAUAAAACAUUUUAAGUUUUCCUGCAGUUAGAACAGAGUGAUGUAGCUCCUACAGUGAAGCUAAGGCUUAUUUACAAGCACUUACCAUUAUACUCUAACAAUAUGCAGUUAUAAAUAUUGACUCAGCCUUCCUGUCUCUCCAUUACAUGGGCUAGGAAAACUGAAUUCACCUCCAAACAUUUAUUCUGAAGUUAAAUUAACUUCUUCCAGAAGUCUGAAAAAAAUGGCUAAGUCAUGAGUAAAUCUAAAAUCUGAAGUCCGAUUUUUUUCCAGAUAAGAUAUUGCCUAUCAAACCCUAAAGUAACAGUUACACCACAAAUGUGAUUGACUUUAAGAUGCAACAUUACGAUAUUCCAUUUGCAAACGUAUCAGAAGGACUUCAUUAAAACCAGUUCAGCAAGUCAACAAGACCUAUAACUGAGGGAUCUAACUGGCACAAACAGGAAAUGAAAAAUUAUGGAAGAACUUUGACCUGAGUGAGAAUUACUCAGAUCAGAGCUUGGUACAUUACAGAAGACUUCUCUGAAGACAGACAGAGUACAGCAGAUGUGAAAUGAUACAAAUUUUGGACAGGAUGCUGUACCAUGGAACGUCAUUCUGAUUUGUAGCCAGAAUUUGAAAAAAAAAAAAAAAAAAAAAAAAAAGUACAAGGAACAGAAGUAUGGAGAAAUGCGAUAGACAAGGAAAGUGUCAGAUGCUCAAAGUAAACUCCUGUCUUUUGGUCUGAGAUCCAGGCAAACUCUUUCUCAGAACUCUAUACCUACCGGUGUGUGUCCCCCACCCUUCCCUUUUCUCUUCAGAAGACCCACAAUUACCUGUCUUCAAUUAUCUUUCCCACCUGCAUUACUGGAAGAAGUCCCUGAAAAGAUCACCAGAAGAGACCUAGGCUAAUAAGAAGUAUUUGCACACAGAGCUCUGACAAACAGGAACAAAUCUUGGAAAAGUUCAGCUGCUAGCUUCUAAGUCCAGCCAUAUGAAAACUGUAGUUUUUCCAAAGCUUUACAGUACUUCUAAUGAGUUUUCCGGUGAAUUUUCACAGGACAAACACUGCAUGUAUCUGGUAAAAGCCAUUCCUUAUAAAUUUCAAAUUCAAAUCAAGAUUCUAGAGCAUUUCCAUUUCACGCUAGAGGAAUUAGUUUUUUAACAAAAGUGAAAAAUGGCUAAGUUUCUUUACAUCUAUUCUCAGAAAUUGUAGCAAACUAAUUUUAACUCAACUUCUCCAAAAGAACAUCAGCUUGAAAAUACACUUUCUGAGGCUUAAGACCAGAUGGCUGGAGUUUAGUGAAGGUAAGAGCUGUUGGAAAUGAGGUGUAAUUUUGGACAUUAUGAGGAAACUUACUUGGUGGUGUUACCAGCCUCACAAAAUAUUUUCAUAUUUCUAUGAAUAAU